rnacentral:lncRNA from 1 species
GUUGGCGGCGGGGCCCAGCCGAGGUAUAAGUUCCACAGCUUCACCCUUGUCGGUGUGAUAUGGGCGUGAAAGAAGACAUAAAACAGGCUUCCCGAGUAGAACCUGCCACCCCGGGCUGGUGGGGACGCGGCACCAGGCCGGGCCGGGGGAAGCCGCUCGGACAGUGGUCCUUGGUGAAGCAGAGUUGCCAGCCAUCUAUGGAUCCUAACUAAAUUGGUCCUUGUAAUACUCGGUAUUAUUUGCCAAGAUAUUGAAAAACCUCUAAACAGUGAGAAGAUUCCAGUUGCUGUCAAUCAUGGGCCAGAUAUACAAGAUGGCAGUUAAUAAGCAAAAGGACGGAGCUCCCAUGAAGACAACAAAAUAAUUCAGGAGAUCUGACUGAAACAGAAAAUGCUAAAAUCCUCAAGAGAAAAGAAAUCAGAUAAGCCUUCCUGGAAAGAAAAGUCCAUGGUCAAACAAAAUGACAUGUUAUCUUUGUAAGGGAGUAUAUUCCUGCCAGGUAUGUCUGGAAUUUGUUCACCAAAUUAAUUAAUUGAUGAAAACAUUUAUUAAGUUUCUGUUAGGCAACAUUAUCGGCAGUGAGGACACAGUGAGGAAUACUGUUCUGCUUCUAUUGGAUAGAAACUUAUAGUGUAAACAUGUAAUUACAAGAAAAUGUGCUAAGCACUGUAGUACAGGUAAGUACAGAUGGCUUUGUGAGUAUAGAGGAGGGAGAUUCAACAGCCUGGGGUGUGGGUGUCAGGGAAGAUUUUACAUGUGACAGUUGAGUUGCAUCUUGAAGAAUGCUUAGGAGCUCUAUAAGCAAAGGGAGUGGGGCUACGUCAGGCUGAGGACCUAGCAUGUGGUAAAAACCCAACACUUGCGCGUUCUUAUUAAUUCAAAUUUAAUGGACAUAUAAAUUAUUGAACAAGGCAUUCUUUAAACUAGAGAUAUGAACUGAACACCCUGCUAUGUUGGUUUUAAACUAUUUGAUGAUUUUUGCCUCAUCCUAUAUCAGCUGUAAUCCCACAGUGUCUAACUCGUGCUUUGGUCAAAGAAACUGCUCAAUAAAUAUUUGUUAAUG